rnacentral:sRNA from 14 species
UACCUGGUUGAUCCUUCCAGUAGCAUAGACUUAAUCUCAAAGAUUACGCCAUGCAAGUCUAAGUACACACGGCUGGUACAGUGAAACUGCAAACGGCUCAUUAAACCUU